AUAAGCGUACACGGUGGAUGCCCUGGCAGUCAGAGGCGAUGAAGGACGUGCUAAUCUGCGAUAAGCGUCGGUAAGGUGAUAUGAACCGUUAUAACCGGCGAUUUCCGAAUGGGGAAACCCAGUGUGAUUCGUCACACUAUCAUUAACUGAAUCCAUAGGUUAAUGAGGCGAACCGGGGGAACUGAAACAUCUAAGUACCCCGAGGAAAAGAAAUCAACCGAGAUUCCCCCAGUAGCGGCGAGCGAACGGGGAGGAGCCCAGAGCCUGAAUCAGUGUGUGUGUUAGUGGAAGCGUCUGGAAAGGCGCGCGAUACAGGGUGACAGCCCCGUACACAAAAAUGCACAUGCUGUGAGCUCGAUGAGUAGGGCGGGACACGUGGUAUCCUGUCUGAAUAUGGGGGGACCAUCCUCCAAGGCUAAAUACUCCUGACUGACCGAUAGUGAACCAGUACCGUGAGGGAAAGGCGAAAAGAACCCCGGCGAGGGGAGUGAAAAAGAACCUGAAACUGUGUACGUACAAGCAGUGGGAGCACAGAGCAAUCUGUGUGACUGCGUACCUUUUGUAUAAUGGGUCAGCGACUUAUAUUCUGUAGCAAGGUUAACCGAAUAGGGGAGCCGAAGGGAAACCGAGUCUUAACUGGGCGUUAAGUUGCAGGGUAUAGACCCGAAACCCGGUGAUCUAGCCAUGGGCAGGUUGAAGGUUGGGUAACACUAACUGGAGGACCGAACCGACUAAUGUUGAAAAAUUAGCGGAUGACUUGUGGCUGGGGGUGAAAGGCCAAUCAAACCGGGAGAUAGCUGGUUCUCCCCGAAAGCUAUUUAGGUAGCGCCUCGUGAAUUCAUCUCCGGGGGUAGAGCACUGUUUCGGCAAGGGGGUCAUCCCGACUUACCAACCCGAUGCAAACUGCGAAUACCGGAGAAUGUUAUCACGGGAGACACACGGCGGGUGCUAACGUCCGUCGUGAAGAGGGAAACAACCCAGACCGCCAGCUAAGGUCCCAAAGUCAUGGUUAAGUGGGAAACGAUGUGGGAAGGCCCAGACAGCCAGGAUGUUGGCUUAGAAGCAGCCAUCAUUUAAAGAAAGCGUAAUAGCUCACUGGUCGAGUCGGCCUGCGCGGAAGAUGUAACGGGGCUAAACCAUGCACCGAAGCUGCGGCAGCGACGCUGAUGCGUUGUUGGGUAGGGGAGCGUUCUGUAAGCCUGUGAAGGUGUGCUGUGAGGCAUGCUGGAGGUAUCAGAAGUGCGAAUGCUGACAUAAGUAACGAUAAAGCGGGUGAAAAGCCCGCUCGCCGGAAGACCAAGGGUUCCUGUCCAACGUUAAUCGGGGCAGGGUGAGUCGACCCCUAAGGCGAGGCCGAAAGGCGUAGUCGAUGGGAAACAGGUUAAUAUUCCUGUACUUGGUGUUACUGCGAAGGGGGGACGGAGAAGGCUAUGUUGGCCGGGCGACGGUUGUCCCGGUUUAAGCGUGUAGGCUGGUUUUCCAGGCAAAUCCGGAAAACUAAGGCUGAGGCGUGAUGACGAGGCACUACGGUGCUGAAGCAACAAAUGCCCUGCUUCCAGGAAAAGCCUCUAAGCAUCAGGUAACAUCAAAUCGUACCCCAAACCGACACAGGUGGUCAGGUAGAGAAUACCAAGGCGCUUGAGAGAACUCGGGUGAAGGAACUAGGCAAAAUGGUGCCGUAACUUCGGGAGAAGGCACGCUGAUAUGUAGGUGAAGUCCCUCACGGAUGGAGCUGAAAUCAGUCGAAGAUACCAGCUGGCUGCAACUGUUUAUUAAAAACACAGCACUGUGCAAACACGAAAGUGGACGUAUACGGUGUGACGCCUGCCCGGUGCCGGAAGGUUAAUUGAUGGGGUCAGCGCAAGCGAAGCUCUUGAUCGAAGCCCCGGUAAACGGCGGCCGUAACUAUAACGGUCCUAAGGUAGCGAAAUUCCUUGUCGGGUAAGUUCCGACCUGCACGAAUGGCGUAAUGAUGGCCAGGCUGUCUCCACCCGAGACUCAGUGAAAUUGAACUCGCUGUGAAGAUGCAGUGUACCCGCGGCAAGACGGAAAGACCCCGUGAACCUUUACUAUAGCUUGACACUGAACAUUGAGCCUUGAUGUGUAGGAUAGGUGGGAGGCUUUGAAGUGUGGACGCCAGUCUGCAUGGAGCCGACCUUGAAAUACCACCCUUUAAUGUUUGAUGUUCUAACGUUGACCCGUAAUCCGGGUUGCGGACAGUGUCUGGUGGGUAGUUUGACUGGGGCGGUCUCCUCCUAAAGAGUAACGGAGGAGCACGAAGGUUGGCUAAUCCUGGUCGGACAUCAGGAGGUUAGUGCAAUGGCAUAAGCCAGCUUGACUGCGAGCGUGACGGCGCGAGCAGGUGCGAAAGCAGGUCAUAGUGAUCCGGUGGUUCUGAAUGGAAGGGCCAUCGCUCAACGGAUAAAAGGUACUCCGGGGAUAACAGGCUGAUACCGCCCAAGAGUUCAUAUCGACGGCGGUGUUUGGCACCUCGAUGUCGGCUCAUCACAUCCUGGGGCUGAAGUAGGUCCCAAGGGUAUGGCUGUUCGCCAUUUAAAGUGGUACGCGAGCUGGGUUUAGAACGUCGUGAGACAGUUCGGUCCCUAUCUGCCGUGGGCGCUGGAGAACUGAGGGGGGCUGCUCCUAGUACGAGAGGACCGGAGUGGACGCAUCACUGGUGUUCGGGUUGUCAUGCCAAUGGCACUGCCCGGUAGCUAAAUGCGGAAGAGAUAAGUGCUGAAAGCAUCUAAGCACGAAACUUGCCCCGAGAUGAGUUCUCCCUGACUCCUUGAGAGUCCUGAAGGAACGUUGAAGACGACGACGUUGAUAGGCCGGGUGUGUAAGCGCAGCGAUGCGUUGAGCUAACCGGUACUAAUGAACCGUGAGGCUUAACC
rnacentral:rRNA from 1 species